rnacentral:rRNA from 1 species
UCGAGAAUCUUUCACAAUGGGGGCAACCCUGAUGGAGCGACGCCGCGUGGAGGAUAAGGUCUUCGGAUUGUAAACUCCUGUCAUGCGAGAACAAAGCCGCAAGGUCUGAUAGUAUCGCAAGAGGAAGAGACGGCUAACUCUGUGCCAGCAGCCGCGGUAAUACAGAGGUCUCAAGCGUUGUUCGGAAUCACUGGGCGUAAAGGGUGCGUAGGCGGCGCGGAAAGUCAGAUGUGAAAUCCGGGGGCUCAACCCCCGAAUAGCAUCCGAUACUACCGUGCUUGAGGGCUGUAGGGGGGUUUGGAAUUCUCGGUGUAGCAGUGAAAUGCGUAGAUAUCGAGAGGAACGCUCGUGGCGAAAGCGAGACCCUGGACAGCAACUGACGCUGAGGCACGAAGGCUAGGGGAGCAAACGGGAUUAGAUACCCCCGUAGUCC